rnacentral:tRNA from 1 species
GGGGGGAUAGUUCAAAGUGACAGAUCUCAUGCUUAGCAUGCAUGAGGUCCUGGGUUCAAUUCCCAGUACCUCCU